rnacentral:rRNA from 1 species
UACGAAGGGUGCAAACGUUGCUCGGAAUUAUUGGGCGUAAAGCGCGUGUAGGCGGCUUGGCAAGUCGGGUGUGAAAGCCCUCAGCUCAACUGAGGAAGUGCGCCCGAAACUGCUGAGCUUGAGUGCCGGAGAGGGUGGCGGAAUUCCCCAAGUAGAGGUGAAAUUCGUAGAUAUGGGGAGGAACACCGGUGGCGAAGGCGGCCACCUGGACGGUCACUGACGCUGAGACGCGAAAGCGUGGGGAGCAAACAGG